rnacentral:sRNA from 1 species
UCAAGUGAAUUAAAAACUGGCUUGCCA